UACAGAGAGUGCAAGCGUUAAUCGGAAUUACUGGGCGUAAAGCGCACGUAGGUGGAUAUUUAAGUCGGAUGUGAAAUCCCUGGGCUUAACCUGGGAAUUGCAUCCGAUACUGAAUGUCUUGAGUAUGGUAGAGGGAAGUGGAAUUUCCGGUGUAGCGGUGAAAUGCGUAGAUAUCGGAAAGAACACCAGUGGCGAAAGCGGCUUCCUGGACCAAUACUGACACUGAGGUGCGAAAGCGUGGGGAG
rnacentral:rRNA from 1 species